rnacentral:rRNA from 1 species
GAUGAACGCUGGCGGCGUGCUUAACACAUGCAAGUCGAACGAUGAACCUCACUUGUGGGGGGAUUAGUGGCGAACGGGUGAGUAACACGUGAGUAACCUGCCCUUGACUCUGGGAUAAGCCUGGGAAACCGGGUCUAAUACUGGAUACGACCUUCUGGCGCAUGCCAUGUUGGUGGAAAGCUUUUGUGGUUUUGGAUGGACUCGCGGCCUAUCAGCUUGUUGGUGGGGUAAUGGCCUACCAAGGCGACGACGGGUAGCCGGCCUGAGAGGGUGACCGGCCACACUGGGACUGAGACACGGCACAGACUCCUACGGGAGGCAGCAGUGGGGAAUAUUGCACAAUGGGCGCAAGCCUGAUGCAGCGACGCCGCGUGAGGGAUGAAGGCCUUCGGGUUGUAAACCUCUUUCAGUAGGGAAGAAGCCGGCUUUUGGGUUGGUGACGGUACCUGCAGAAGAAGCGCCGGCUAACUACGUG